AGGACUGGGAGAUACGGACGA
rnacentral:miRNA from 1 species